AAUUCUGGACAUUGGGCGCAAUCCUGAUCCAGCCACGCCGCGUGAGUUAAGAUUGCCNNNGGAUUNUCAAUCACUUUCGGACGNAAUNAAAUCGCGUAGGCUAAUACCCUCCGCGGAUCUAGAUACCGUCAUACGUAGCACCGGAUAACUACAUGCCAUGAGCCGCGGUAAGACGUAGGGUGAGAGCGUUAGUCGGAAUUACUGGGAGUAAGGCGUGCGCAGGCGGUUAAUUAAGACAGGCGUGAAAUCCCCGGGCUUAACCUGGGAACUGCGCUUGUGACUGGUCAGCUAGAGUACGGCAGAGGGGGGUGGAAUUCCACGUGUAGCAGUGAAAUGCGUAGAGAUGUGAAGGAACACCGAUGGCGAAGGCAGCCCCCUGGGCCGAUACUGACGCUCAUGCACGAAAGCGUGGGUAGCAAACAGG
rnacentral:rRNA from 1 species